CCUGAGAAACCCAAAAGAUCGAAUGGGGAGAUUCAUCGUCGACGAAGCUGGCUCCCGUUGGUGUGCGAUUCCUCCGAUGGGACUCUGUUCCAAAACGCGGGUACACCCCUUCGGCGAAUAACCGGCGACGUAGACGUGCACUUCUCCCUUUGUAGAACGUCGCGACCCGUUGUGUGUCGGUCUACGGCCUGGGCUAAUUGCCUGUCGCGGGCACUUUAUUAUGCUCACGGCAGAGGCUCGGUCGCCCGGCCGGCUGCACGACGGUACUCCGACGGUAUCGGGCCGCAACCAAUCCAUUCUCGAAUGUAUUUGCGUCAGGCCCGCCGCAAGCUCGGACAGCACCCGGAGUGUGUGGACAUAGUGCCCUCCCCGGGUCUGGUCAGCUGUUUGCAGGCGGUGUCCUCGGACUGGCCAAGCUUUGAAUUACCGGUCAGCGACGCUAUUGCUUUGGGUACUCUCAGGACCCGUCUUGAAACACGGACCAAGGAGUCUAACAUGUGCGCGAGUCAUUGGGACAUUUAAACCUAAAGGCGAAAUGAAAGUGAAAGUCGUCGUAAGCGUCGACCAAGGGAGGAUGGGCCGCUUACGCCGCGGCCCCGCACUCCCGGGGCGUCUCGUUCUCGUUGAGAAGAGGCGCACCCAGAGCGUACACGUU
rnacentral:rRNA from 1 species